CAUUUUAAAAAUACAAACAGUCACUUAAAGAGAGGAGGAACACCAGAGACGAAACGGACACUUGGGCAUACAUUGCUGCAGAAGGUGAUCAGGAGGUUUCAGACAGCGUGUGCCAAGCAGAUGAGAAUUCGGAUGGCAGGCAGCAGAUUCUGAGUUUGGGCAUGGACCUGCAGUUGGAAUGGAUGAAGUUAGAAGAUUUCCAAAAGCACCUUGAUGGGAAAGAUGAGAAUUUUGCUGCAGUAGAUGCAAUUCCAAGUAAUGUGUUAAGGGAUGCUGUAAAAAAUGGGGAGUAUAUUACUGUAAAAGUUGCACUUAAUUCAAAUGAAGAAUAUAACCUGGACCAAGAGGAUUCCAGUGGAAUGACACUGGUGAUGCUUGCCGCCGCGGGAGGGCAGGACGACCUCCUGCGACUCCUCAUAACAAAAGGCGCGAAAGUGAACGGUCGGCAGAAAAAUGGGACCACCGCCCUCAUUCAUGCCGCAGAGAAGAACUUUUUAACAACAGUGGCUAUUCUUUUGGAAGCGGGAGCUUUUGUCAAUGUCCAGGAGAGCAAUGGUGAGACCGCACUGAUGAAGGCCUGUAAAAGAGGAAAUUCAGACAUUGUACGACUUGUGAUUGAAUGUGGAGCUGACUGCAACAUCCUGUCAAAGCACCAGAACAGCGCCCUGCACUUCGCCAGGCAGUCCAACAACGUGCUUGUGUACGACUUGCUCAAGAGCCAUCUAGAGACACUUUCAAGAGUAGCAGAAGAGACAAUAAAGGAUUACUUUGAAGCUCGCCUUGCUCUGCUAGAACCAGUUUUUCCAAUCGCAUGUCAUCGACUCUGUGAGGGGCCUGAUUUUUCAACAGAUUUCAAUUACAAACCCCCACAGAACACACCAGAAGGCUCCGGCAUCCUGCUGUUUAUCUUCCAUGCAAACUUUUUGGGUAAAGAAGAUAUUGCUCGGCUCUGUGGACCAUGUAGUGUACAAGCUGUAGUUCUGAACGAUAAAUUUCAACUUCCUGUUUUUCUGGUAAGAUAA